rnacentral:lncRNA from 1 species
AUGAAAUACAUAAAUCACCUUUAUGCGUAUGCAUAAAGGAUUCUAUUUACGCAUUAUUUCUUUGGGAGUCAAAAGGGUACGUUCCCUUUGAGAAGAGCUACCUCCUAGUCUCACUAGAGUUGUUCUUCUGAUUAAAGUUUAUCAUCAUAUGAGAAACUUCCUAGCAUCUCUUGUCUAUUAUUUAGGGCUUGAUAUAAUCCAAUUAUAUCUUGAAAUCUAUCAAUAUAGAUUUCCAUCCCAUGUAUAUAGACUAUGUCUCCCAUAUACAUUCUAUCGUUAUAGAAUGCUUAAAGUCAUAACUUUAACGAAUGUUUAAAGUCAUAACUUUAACGAAGAAGUAUUCAUUUCAUUUCCAAAAUUAAUAUAUCAUAUAUAUUUAAAUUUUAGGAACAUGAUUAACUCCCACUAAUCUUUUGUAAACCUGGUAAACAAAAGAUUCAUUUACAUCUUUAUGAGAAAUCAAACGAUUUGAUCCUUUUCUCUCAUAAGACGCUUAUGGCUCCCACUAGCUUGUUUAAGAUUCAUGAUGGAUGGAUCUCUACAACUUACAUGUCUUGUGAUUCAUAGUUUUUAGACAUAUAUUAUCAAGACUAUCUUAAUGAUGGUUUCGAAAACCCAUAUUAUGUCCAAACAUUGAAUCACCAUUUAGUUGUAGCUAGCAAUCUUCGAAUUAAUUGAAACUAAGACUACGUCAAAGAUGGUUCCUUCAAAGUCAACCAUUCUCUUUGAUUGUAGUCACCUUAAGCUACCAAUUAGCUUAUGAAGGUUUCAUUAUUUCGGGUUAAAUGGUACUUUACCAUUUCCUUGAGUAUAUAUCAUAUAUACACUCAAUGUAGUCAUAAGGAUUUUCAUUCUUAUUUCUUUCGAAUUAAGAGGUGCAACUCUAUGACAUAGUCAUAAAGUUCAAACCAUUCAACUGAGACGGUUUAUAAAUCCUUAUCGACUACCUUGGAGCUUUUGGUAUAGGAACUAGGUUGUUAUAUUUGUUGAUUAUUAUCUUGUCUCUCAAAGAACCAUUCUUUGAGUUCUAUCCCUCAUUCAUUUGCUCUUAGGCAAAUCACAUUGUAGGAUUACAAUGAACUACCCAACAAAACAACAUUUGUUAGUUGGUAUAUAGAAGCGAUAUCCAAAAGUUCAUUUAAGGAUAUCCCACAAGAUUGUUAUCAAACAAAUAUUGCUUAUUAGCACACAACCCCAAAUCUUAACAUGUUUUAAGAUUUUGUCUUUCUUUCCAACUACAUCUUAUGGAGUCAUGAAAAUAUUGGAAGAUCUUCUAAUUGACAAUCAUAUUGUCUUAGAAGUAUAUAUCAUAUAUAUGGGUAAUAGAUAACAACUAACGAACUAAAUCUUAUUCGAGUUCGUUCUUCUCCUAAUGGAGAAAUACAUUAUCUUAUGAUGCUAUUUUUCCUUGAUAUUUUUUCAAGGAAACUCAUCUAAAGUGUUACCUUUCCUUGGAUCAAAUCUAAGGAGGUAAAUACUUUAGAUGUCUUACUCAUUAACUUACAUUUCUUGAAUUCUUUGAAACAUUUUGCAAAGUAUUCGGGCUUGUGUUUAUUCAAAAUAAACUAUAGUCCAACCGAGAGUGAUCUUCGGUGAAUGUUAUCCAACAUGAGUAGUAUUAUGUUUGUGGACAAGUGCCACUAACAUCUAAGUGAAUUAACCUCAACAACUUUGUGAUUCUUUCUUCUUUCCAAAAGAAUAAAGAUUUGAACAUUUCGCCUCUAUAUAAUUUUAACAAGAAGGUAUUGGAUCCGGAUCUAACGAUCCAAAGCGUCCAUCAAUGACCAACUCGUAAUUUAUGUUUUAGAGGUAUCACAACUUUAGUUGGGAUUAGUCACUACCUUG